UUAAUCUCCCCUAAUGUCGAUUAACAACAGACAGGUUUUCCCAAUUAACUCGAUUAAUCACAUUAAUUCAAUUAAUAACAUUCAAGGAAUUCAAAAGGGAUUAGGGUUACUCUUUUGAGCUUUCAUGUUCCUCUUCUUCACAUGAACAGCGGCGGCACCGGAGUAAAGCUCAUCUCCGAUUCAAGGACCGGCGCUCUCCUCUCUCGCUCAACCCUCUCACGUUCAACCUUUCUCCGAUUCUGAUUUUGUCUCAUUUCUCUCCGAUAAUAUCGUUCUCCCGGCUCACUCUCAGAUUCAACUCACACCGCCGGUGAAUGCUUCACGGGGACGGCGUCUCAGUUCACUUGUUGCGCAAAUCUCUCGUCUCAAAACGCUAAUCAAACUCUUCCGAUUUCACUCUGAAUCCCUAUCCUUCUCGCAUCUCUCCGUUUCCGAAUCUCCGUUCCAAUUCAAAUUAAUAGAACGUUAUUGAAUCUUCGUGCGUGUUGUGGAACGUUAUUGCAGGUGAUGAUAAGCGUUGAAUGAUUGAGGAUGUGGAUUGUUGCGUGGAGUUUGUAUGAUGAUCGUGAUAGGGAUCGAAGUUUGAGAUCGAGAUGCGUGGAAUCUUCUUCUGAUUAUCUCCUUUCUUGUUCUUCUGCAGGUUGAAAGUUAUAAGGAUUGUGGAAGACUCUUCUGGUGAAGAUUGAGAGGAAGGAGAAUUGGAGAUUUCUCAGAUUGCAAAGAAGAUUGUUCUGUUGUGAAGAUUGUAGCGCCAUUUUCAGAGAGAGAAUUGGAGAGGUGAUAUGAAGGUUCGAUGAUGAUGAAGAGUUUGUUACAUUCUUUUGGUAAUUUUUCUGUUAUGAUGGUGAAUCCAAGAAGAACGAUGGAGAAUUGAUGAAGAUGAGUUGAGAGAUUGGAGAUGAUAAACGUGGUUCAAUGUUGAUGAUUGAUGAAGGUCGGUUAGAGUCUGGAAGGAGAGUGUUUGAAGAUUCAAGAUCCAGAAAGUUAUGAUGGUGGAUGAAUGAAGAUGAUGAAGAUUGGAUAUGAUUCGUUUUGGAGAGUUUUCUGUGAAUUCAAGGAUUGAGAAAGAGAAAAAAAAAGUUUGUUACGAAUUCUGUUUUUGGUUAUGAGAGUUAUGCGAACCGGUUCGGUUUAUUUCUGCCUUGUGAAGCCGUGUGGUUGCAGGAUAGCUUUCGUUGCAGGGCUGCGUUUUUUGGUUCUCAUUUUUCUUCUCCUUCAACUGUUAUGCUGAGUUUGGUCUUUUUUUUCCAGUUGUGAACCGAUUUUAGUCCCUCUUCGGCCAGUCCAAAAAACGGUCCCUUUGGCUUUGAUGCUGCACAGUUUAACGUGUAGAGUUUUAUGAACCGGUUUGAUUAUGCAGGCGCAAGGUUUGGUGGCUGCCGGUUCGGUUUAAUCGUGUAUAGGUGUGGCUUAAUUUGAAGUAAUUUUGGUCAAGCAAUUGCGAAUCGGUUUUAGCAUUGCUGAGUGUGUAUUUUGGAUUUUUUUUUUUGUAACUUUUGUGAAAGGUUUGAAUUAUGUGAUGAAUAUAGAUGUAUGGUAUUGUAUGGGAUAUUUGAGUAUUUUUUGUAAUAAAUUUGUAAUGGAUUUUUCCUGAAUUUGAAUGAUGAUGGACCUUGCAAGCAAUUUGAACGAA